UAGGGAAUCUUCGGCAAUGGGCGAAAGCCUGACCGAGCAACGCCGCGUGAAUGAAGAAGGCCUUCGGGUUGUAAAAUUCUGUUAUAAGGGAAGAAAGGUGAUAGGAGGAAAUGACUAUCAAUUGACGGUACCUUAUGAGAAAGCCACGGCUAACUACGUUCCAGCAGCCGCGGUAAUACGUAGGUGGCAAGCGUUAUCCGGAAUUAUUUGGCGUAAAGAGCGCGCAGGUGGUUAAUUAAGUAUGAUGUGAAAGCCCACGGCUUAACCGUGGAGGGUCAUUGGAAACUGGUUGACUUGAGUGCAGAAGAGGGAAGUGGAAUUCCAUGUGUAACAGUGAAAUGCGUAGAGAUAUGGAGGAACACCAGUGGCGAAGGCAGCUUCCUGGUCUGAAACUGACACUGAGGCGCGAAAGCGUGGGGAGCAAGCAGG
rnacentral:rRNA from 1 species